ensembl:lncRNA
CAGUUCCAAAGGACUCGUGAUGAAAAAAAAUGCUAUCCACCUCCAGAGAGAGAACUGAUGAACUCUGAGUGCAAACUGAACUAUGUUUUUUCUCACUUUAUUUUUCUUGCUUUUUUUUUUCAACAUGGACAAUAUGGAAGUAUGUUUUACAUGAUUUCAUAUGUACAGUUGAUAUAUUGCUUGCCUUCUCAAUGGGUGGGGACGGGGCUGGAGGGAAGGAGAGAAUUUGGAACUCCAAAUUUAAAAAAAAAGAAUGUUAAAAAUAAAUAAUGUAUUUGCAAAAAUUAAGAAAAAACAACAACUACAUGACUUCUGAGGGCCGUUUCACCAAUCAUAGAUUUAGAACUAGAAAGGACCUUAGAAGCUAUCUAUAGAGGGGAAACUGAGUCCCCUGAAGGUUAAGUGACUUUUCCAAGUCCCUACAGGUAGCAGGCCAAGGACUGAUUCAAACCCAAAGUAGUAUAUCUACAAUGGAGGAGAGAAUAUUAAUUGAAAAACCUCACAGUGAAGGGGAAGGUACUUAGUCUGCUCCCUCUGGACAGUCAUUUGAUGUCAGACCUGCCACCGCUAAAGAUUUCUCCUGCUAAGUCAUAGUAGAAAAAGUCCAGGUACAGCUGCAAGAGACAGGAGUUUGGGGGAACUAGGAGGCUGUAUCCAAAGAUUUCUCUUCUUGUUUCUGUGACCCAAGAUAUUCAUGGAUGGCUGUGCCCAAUUCCUCCACACAGGUCAAACAGGAGCUCCAGUGCCCUGUGGCAAUACCCUGGGUUUCUUACAUGUAGGCUGCGACUCUGCAUCCUGUAACCUGAGCUUGGAACAGACGUGGGGGCUGCGGUUUGCUCUUCAGAGGCUUCCAGCUUCCUUGUCCACCUGGGGCCAGGUAGUAUUCAGACAGCUUUACCUCAGUCUCACGUGUAUCCUUCUCUCUCCAAUGCAUAAGGCGUUAGGUGAGGUUAGCACUGCCAGCCACUCCUCCUUGUUUGGUUGGGUUUUUUUUUUGUCUCCUCUCCCCUCCUUCUCUCUUCCCCCCCCCAUCUGUGGGCUCAGACAAGGUGUGGGUUGGGUGGAAAUUGCCACUGCUUUCAUCCCUGGAGAUCCUCUCCUCACACCUCUCUCUCCUCUCUUGCCUCCACACACAGGCAGCAACCCCGAGGACAUGGAUAGACUAUAUUUUGGUAAGUCAAACACUGCAUGUUGUUAUCAUCUUUGAUCAUUAUGGGCCAGGACAUCCUUCAUCCCUUGGGGGAAUCACAUGAGUGAGAGAUCCCUAGGACUUUAGGCAAUGGGGUGAAGAACAAGAAUGAAGUCGAAAUGCAUGUAUUUCAUAUCAUCUGGCUGUCUAGAUGAGGAUGGGAGAAUGAGAUUAGGAGUCCAAAGAUCUGGGUUCUAAUUCUGUUUCUGUUACUGUCUGUUGCUUGUCCUUUGUUCUCAAAGAGGACCAUGACAUCAGGGAGGUGAUGCCAUGACAAGCAAGUAAAUUGGAUUUAAGGGAGGGAGGGCUGAGCAAAGUCCCCAGUCUCACUUUCUCCUCCGGAGCCAUCCAGGUCCCUGUAUCAAGAUACAGAUUAGGACGACUUGAGAUGGCCCUGCGGUUUGCUGUCUAUGACUAACUUUUUUAGCCUCAAUUUUCUUACAUAUAAAAUGGGAAUUAAUAAGUUUUAGAGCUAGAAGGAGUCUCUGGAUUACCUACUCCAACUCUCUUAUUUUAUAGAUGAAGAAACAGAAGCCCAGAGAUUUAGGCUGACUGGUCAGCCUUCUACAAGGUAGAAGUCAGUAAAGAGCCAAGAUUUAAACUAGCAGUUAACCCCAACUCCAGCGGCCUUUUCUCCUGCCUGCCUUGCUUAUGGCCCUGGGUUGUUGGGAGAAUCCCACGAGAUUGUGUAAGUGAAGUUACUUUGAGAACUACAGAGUACAAAGUAGACUUGGGGAAUUGUUACUGAACCGUAUAGUGCAAAGAACCCUGAGUCUGGAGGCUGAGGGGCUGGGUUCCAAUCUGAACUCUGCUGCUAACUAUCUGUGAUAGUGGCAGGCCACACUUCUCUGGGCCUUAGUUUCUUCUUCUGCAAAAAAAAAAAAAUGGAAAGGAGGGAUUGCUGAAUUGGAAAGUUUUAAGGUCCUUCCAACUUGAAAUUUAUGAUUCAAUGACAUUUAUUGUGUCAUAGAAAAACAGUGUGAUAUGUUGGACAGAACUCUGAACUUGGAUUCCAAAG